rnacentral:rRNA from 1 species
UACGUAGGGGGCAAGCGUUGUCCGGAAUCAUUGGGCGUAAAGCGCGUGUAGGCGGCUUGGUAAGUCUGCUCUGAGAGCCCGGGGCUCAACUCCGGGCUUGCAUUCGAUACGGGCAGACUAGAGUUCGGUAGGGGAGACUGGAAUUCCUGGUGUAGCGGUGAAAUGCGCAGAUAUCAGGAGGAACACCGGUGGCGAAGGCGGGUCUCUGGGCCGAUACUGACGCUGAGGAGCGAAAGCGUGGGGAGCAAACAGG